rnacentral:lncRNA from 1 species
UGUGGGCCCUGGGGGCUUUCUGACUCUGCAAGGCAUAUCCUAGCAAAGUGAAUAAACUAUUCUCUUGGAAACACUUCGUGUUUAAGGUAUCCAUCACAUCGGAGUGACAAUAGGUUGGGAGCACCUGUGGGUCUGAUGCCAAACUGGCCCUGAGGGCCAACCCCACCUUGUCUCCUUGCAGGCAUUUGGGGUGUGCACUUUGCAAGACAGAAAAACCUCCGUCCCACUUGGGCUUGGCAGGGGAUGUGCAAACGUCCAGCAAAUGCAGGCUUGAAAUGGGAAGCCCUGUGAGGCCAUCANGAUGAUGCAUAAAGCCCAGUCUCCUCCCAGCUGCAAGGUCCACCUGAAGGGGAAGUNGAGAAACUGCGGAAGGCAACAGAGGCAGUGCUGUGCUGAAUAUGCGAUUUACCUAGACUGCUAUUUCCUUGCUUCUGCCUUCAGCUGAGAACAGCAGGUGAACAAAGACUGGUGUGAAGAAAGAGCACAGUUUCAUCCAAGUUUAAUCUACCUUUGGCCAACUUCUGGAAUCAAGAAAGCACACCAGCAAAGCAAUGAGCUAUUUUCCUUCCACGUUACCUAACCCAAAGGUAAAUUUCCUGAAAAGUGGGUAAAAGCCCGUCAGAAAGCAUUUAUAAAAAAUAAAUUAUAACUGCUAGAACA